rnacentral:rRNA from 1 species
UGAGGAAUAUUGGUCAAUGGACGGAAGUCUGAACCAGCCAUGCCGCGUGAAGGAUGAAGGCGUUCUGCGUUGUAAACUUCUUUUAUCUGGGAAGAAACCUCCGAUUUCUAUUGGAGCCGACGGUACCAGAGGAAUAAGCACCGGCUAACUCCGUGCCAGCAGCCGCGGUAAUACGGAGGGUGCAAGCGUUAUCCGGAUUUACUGGGUUUAAAGGGUGUGUAGGCGGACUAUUAAGUCCGUGGUGAAAUCUCCGGGCUCAACCCGGAAACUGCCAUGGAUACUAAGGGUCUUGAAUAUUGUGGAGGUGGGCGGAAUGUGUCAUGUAGCGGUGAAAUGCUUAGAGAUGACACAGAACACCGAUUGCGAAGGCAGCCCACUACGCAACUAUUGACGCUGAGGCACGAAAGCGUGGGGAUCAAACAGGAUUAGAUACCCCGGUAGUCC